ACGCUCGACACCUACGGAGGCAGCAGUUGGGAAUAUUGGACAAUGGAGGAAACUCUGAUCCAGUGACGCCGCGUGAAGGAAGAAGGUCUUCGGAUUGUAAACUUAUUUUGUCAGGGAAGAAAAAAUGACUGUACCUGAAGAAAAAGCACCGGCUAACUACGUGCCAGCAGCCGCGGUAAUCUGAGCGGGCUGGCAAGGC
rnacentral:rRNA from 1 species